UACGUAGGGUGCGAGCGUUGUCCGGAAUUACUGGGCGUAAAGAGCUCGUAGGUGGUUUGUCGCGUUGUUCGUGAAAUCUCACGGCUUAACUGUGAGCGUGCGGGCGAUACGGGCAGGCUAGAGUACUGCAGGGGAGACUGGAAUUCCUGGUGUAGCGGUGGAAUGCGCAGAUAUCAGGAGGAACACCGGUGGCGAAGGCGGGUCUCUGGGCAGUAACUGACGCUGAGGAGCGAAAGCGUGGGGAGCGAACAGG
rnacentral:rRNA from 1 species